ensembl:lncRNA
UUUUUUUUUUCUUUUUUUUUUGAGACACAGUCUUGCUCUGUCACCCAGGCUGGAGUGCAGUGGCGCAAUCUCGGCUCACUGCAACCUCCACCUCCCUGAGCCUCCUGAGUAGCUGGGAUUACAGGCACCUGCCACCACACCUGGCUAGUUUUUGUAUUUUUAGUAGAUACAGCAUUUCACCAUCUCGGCCAGGCUGUUCUUGAACUCCUGACCUUGUGAUCCACCCACCUCGGCCUCUCAAAGUGCUGGGAUUACAGGCAUAAGCCAACACGCCGGGCCGUAACAAUGCAUUUUAUAAGGCAAUUAGAAGAAAUAAAAGAAUGUCGCUACUGAAACAUUAUGGCUAUAUUAAAUAACUCUGAUAGUCUGGAAAGCCCAAAAUAAAGCAUCGUAAAUUUACUAGGUUUCCCUAUAAAUGUUUGAUACAAGGGAUAUGUGAAACUUCUGACUUACAUGUCUGCUAAAUCAACUUAAUGAAUGUGGAAAUCAAACUGGAAAUUUGCAAAAGCUACUUAAGGAAUACUUUUACCUUCAGUAAAGAUAAGAGCAGAAUAGGAGAAGAAAAUAUUUUUUACACAAAGCACAAUAUGCUUUCGUAUUCCAAAUAUUGGAAAAAGGGCUAAGGCCAUAUCCCUUUCUUCCUCAUAUCCAACAGUUUGCUUUUAAACUCAAUUCAAAUUCAGUAUGCAAACACCAAAGACCACCCAGUGAAAAAUGGCCUGAGCCACCUGACAGUUACUGAACUUAAGGCUGCCCAUGAAAGCCCCUGGAGUAGGAGAAGGAUUCAAAAAGGAAGCUAGACUGGAGACAUCUGAGAGUAAAUCAGCAGCAUUAUUGAGGGUGAGAUGGAGGCUUUAAGUAGAGGGAAAGGAUGGGUGUGGGAAGGAAAUGGUGGAAAUCAGUGCAAAAAUAAGCUGCAGUCAGCUCAGUGGGGCUGAUGAAAAGGAUGAAAAGACACUGAUGUAGCAACUGAUGCUGGAAGAUGUAAGGUAUGAGAUUAGGGGAAAAGCUGCUUAGAAAAGAGAUGAUUUGGAUGUUCAAGAACUUUCUCCAGAGACACUACAGUAAUUCCUCCUUGCCCACCUGUAGGUUUAUGGCAGUAGCUUUGAGGGUACCUUCUAACUUACCCCCAAAUCUCUUCUCUCUGUUCACUCUGGUUUUUUUUUUUUCAUUAAAAAAGGCCUAUUUUGGAGUGGCUAUGAAGUUAAGACAAACAGAUCAAUUAGUUUUUCCUGUAAAGAAUUUUUCCUACAUUAAGCCUUACUGAAUUUUGAAAAGUAUCCCAGAUGUUAAGAGAGGAAGCAUUAUGUUCAGAUGUCAGGCUCCUUUCCACCUGACCAAAACUUACCAUGCUCUGUGUUCUCAAAGUCCUACCAUAUUCAUCAGCUGGUGUAGGCUGCAAAUCAGCAUAAGAAAACGUAUUUCCUUCCAAGCCUGAUGGGCCUGAAGUUUUCUUGAGAAAGGAACAAGGCUUCUGCCUGACAACAUACAAGCCAGUGCUGCACACCCGAGUCUUCAUUCUCUCUCACUUGACUCUGUCCUCAGCACAAACAGGCUGGAAUUUGCUUUAAUAGCAGGGAUACCAGAGCAAUUCCCCAUGGACCUGCCUGUGGGUAAACCCUUUGAGUAGAGAAACAGCAUUUCCAAGAUCGUCAUGAACUGACGAAUAGGGUCUUUUAAACUUAUCUUUUAAGUAAAGAAGUACCUUAAAAGCCUCAACUUAGGCAACUCAAAUCCACACUCACCAAUCAAUCUGGGUUUUAUGGUCAAUUUGUACAGGCACUAAAACAACAACAAAACACCUUAAACUUUAAAGCAGAUGGCUCCUAAAUAGUUAUCUCCUUUAGUUUUGUUUGAAUGAGUAACCUAGACAUCUGAAUAUUAUCAACCACAUCUGGAAGUAUGUGUGCAUGC